rnacentral:rRNA from 1 species
AUUGAACGCUGGCGGCAGGCCUAACACAUGCAAGUCGGGCGAGCGGCGGACGGGUGAGUAAUGUAUGGGGAUCUGCCUGAUGGAGGGGGAUAAAUACUGGAAACGGUAGCUAAUACCGCAUACCAUAGGAUGAGCCCAAGUGGGAUUUGGGAGUGGGGGGGGUAAAGGCUCACCAAGACGACGAUCUCUAGCUGGUCUGAGAGGAGGACCAGCCAAACUGGAACUGAGACACGGCCCAGACUCCUACGGGAGGCAGAGGUGGGGAAGAUUGCGCAAUGGGGGCAGUCCUGACGCAGCCAUGCCGCGGGGAUGAAGAAGGCCUUCGGGUUGUAAAGUUCUUUCGGUAGGGAGGCGUUAACUACAGAAGAAGCACCGGCUAACUCCGUGCCAGCCGCAGCGGUAAUAC